rnacentral:lncRNA from 1 species
AAAGAAAAAAAUUCCAAACCUCGCCCAAAAAAAAAAAACCCCCUUUUCUAAAUGUUUGCCCUCCUCUCCCCUAAAUAAAAAAAAAAUCACUCAAUCAAAAAUAUUUAGUUCCUUAUGGACUAUUUUAAUCUCUUAUUUGCUUAAUUAUUUAUUUAUUUUGAGCAUAAUAUAGUUUGCUAUUUUUUUACUUAAUUAGCUUAAUUUUGUAGCUCUUUAUUCUUAUAUUCUUAAAAAAUAUGAGUAUUUAUGCUAAUUGCAUAAGUCUUGCGAGAAAAGAAAACUUAAUUUAAUAGCCGAAUUUUUUAUCCCGAAUUUUUAAUUAGUGAACGUAUAAUAUUCGUAUAAAUCACGUAUCCGAAUAAUUGGCGAAUCCUUUUUUUAGCUGUAUUUUUCAACGAAUUUAAAAGUUAGAAAACGAAUUUUAUCUGAAUUAUAUCCGUACCGAAUUUUUGCCAAAUCCGAAUUAACUAACUAUGAUUGGGUCACAUCAAAAAUAUGGAUCCUAUAGACAAAUUAAGCCACGAACUAAUGGAAGGUUGCCAAAUAUUUGAUAAGAAUUUUGGACGCGUAAACCGACUCUAAAAUAUAUAUGAAAAAUAAAUUUAUGUUGUAUAAAAAAUUAUUUAAAUAAAAAAAAGGCUUGAUAUAUGGUUGGUAUCUGAGAUCCAAGUUCGAAUCCUAGUUGAUUCAUAUUUCCAGCUAAGUUUAUUUCUAAAUGAAAUAAACGAAGUGGGAAGCAUGCUACCUAUCUCUAAAAAAAAAUAUAUUUUAUAUUAUAUUUUAUUUUAUAGUUCUAAUUAUCAGAUAUUCUAUCAAUUAUCUAAUAUAUUGUAUGGUGUAUGAAGCAUAAAUAUACAUCGGGUGCAAGCAAAAAUUUUUUCUCUUUCUCUUUUGAAAUUAUGAGUACACCCUAUAAACAUUCUUUAACCGGGUAUAUAUGUGUACAUAUAUCACAUACUUAAAAAAACUUUAAUAAAAAUUUUAAAAUAUAAUUUAUUAAAUAUAAUUUAAAUUAUUAUACUUUUUAGAUCAUAUAUAUUUAAUUAAAUUUCGAUAUUAGAAUAUCAGUCAUCUAAUAUAAGUUGCGGUGUAUCCAGUGUUAAUGUACCACAUG